rnacentral:misc_RNA from 1 species
GUGCCCGGGGAGUGUUGACGCGAGGAGAGGCUUUACUGCCGCUGACGGCGACAACAACGACGACGAGGUGGUCGAAGAUCCGCGCGAGAAGUAUGUCCGCUAAUCCUGAGCACGGCGAGAGCACGAGUGGCUGCCGAGAGUGAAAGGGGUGACGGUAACGUCACGCGCACCCGUGACAAUCGGCGAGGUGGUAGCUCGCACAGUACCACACACGAAAAGAGACCCCCGUGGGGUCGUGGACGAUGCUGCCGAUUGAUCUUUCGAUGUCGGACGAGCGGCGGACUCGCGGCGACGUUGCCCGAGUCGCCGGCGUCGGCUGGUUGAUGAGGUACGUGCUCCUGCUGCUGGGUCUCUUCGCGGUUGUCCAGUUGACGCCGUCGGCGCUCGCCGGCGAUACCCUGGGUAAUCCGUACAAAAUACUAGGCGUGUCGAAGCGUGCAACGAUCCAGGAAAUCCGGAAGGCGUACAAGAACCUCGCCAAGGAAUGGCAUCCAGAUAAAACUGAUCAUCCGAUGGCUGAAGAGAAAUUUGUCGAGAUAACAAAAGCUUAUGAGCUUUUAACAGAUCCAGAAAGAAGGAGAAACUUUGAUAACCAUGGAAUUACGGAAGAGAGUCUCCGGCAAAGGAGAGACAAUAGUCACUUCAAUGUCCUCGAUCCAUUGGAAGAAUUGUUCACUGGUAACUUUAAAUUCCACUAUCAAAGCAGUGACAACACUCUGUUCCAUAAAAUGAGCAUCACGUAUCGAUCAUUCGAGAAUGUAAUAGUACCGAAAACUUACCGUAUACCAUAUUUAAUCUUAUUCUACUCCGACUGGUGCUACAUGUGUCUCCAAGUGGAACCUACUUGGAGACGAUUGAUCGACGAAUUGGAACCUCUGGGACUUGGUUUGGCUACAGCGCAUGCUAAAAAGGAGUCUACCCUGGCGAGAAGACUUGGCGUCCACUCUAUUCCAUGUCUCGUUGUCAUUGUGGACGGGCGCACUAGCAUCUACAAGGAAUCUCUAUUUAGUAUUCAGAAAGUUGUUGAAUUUGUACGAAGUAGACUACCAUAUAGAUUAAUAAGUACUAUUAGUGAUACCAAUGUAGAUAAUUUCCUAUCGGGUUGGACGGAUAAUCGAAUACGUGCUUUGAUAUUUGAAAAGAGAGACUUCAUUCGUUUGCGAUAUUUGCUUACGUCUUUUUACUACAGAGAUCGAGUAGCUUUCGGCUUCGUCCAGAUUGGCUUACCAGAGACCGAGAACAUAACAACAAAAUACAAAAUCUCAGGAGAAUUGGAUACUUUACUGCUCUUCAACGAAAAUUCGGAAAAACCUAUGGCGUCUAUUAGUAUGAAAGACAUUUCCAGCGAAACCAUGCAUAAUGUUAUUGCUAAUAAUAAGUUUCUCGUAUUACCUAGACUUUCGAAUCAAGCUAUGUUGGAUUCUAUAUGUCCGCCUGAAUGGCUGAGACCACAAAAGCGGUUGUGCGCCGUUUUAAUUUCGCAGCAAAAUAGUCCCAUGCACGACAUGGCUAGACACAAGUUUAGACAGGCAGCAUUAGAGUCUUCUUAUAGCACGGAACGUGUCAGGUAUGCAUAUGUAUUCAAAGAUACACAACCUGAAUUUGUAUCAGCAUUAUUAGCUGGUGAAGGCAGCCCAAUGGAACCUCUAUUACAUAUUGUCAUCAUAUGGAGACGAGAUGCCAAUCACCUGAAGUACGAGUGGCUUCCUCAUGGAUGGGUCGAGGCCGUUCAAGACGAUCGUAUAUGGAACGAGACACGAAGACACUUAGAGAAAACUAUACAAAGGCUGUUACGCGCCACUGAAGCUUUACCAUACGCUGCUGUCGUAGGAGAAUUAGCGGAUGAACAUGCACAGGGUACUGUAGACAGAUUAAUAGGAAGGGCAUUAUUAGCAGUAGAUUAUAUUUCCGAUAAUCUGACGAAAGAGCAAAUUUUGCCUUUGAUAUCAGUACUAGUAACUCUCAUGUUAAUAGGAGUUGCAGGGUAUGGAAUGUCGUACCUAGUUAAGCUAGAAGAAGCAAGUGUCCAGGCUGAGCGUGACCAAUGCAAGGAUAGCAAUGCGAAAUCACAGCCGUCGCAGCCGCAACUACGAUUGCAUGAAUUACGCGCGGAGAAAUACAACGGAUUAGUUCGGCUUUUGAAACCAGGAUGUCGAACCAUUAUUCUACUGAUUGACGCUCAAAGCCGGUUAAAGUUAUUACCAGCUUUUCAUAGAGCCGUGUGGCCUUAUAGAAAGAAUAAAACGCUUAUGUUCGCACAUAUGUCAUUAGAAAGAGGUCUUGAUUGGUAUAAGAAAUUAUUAUUUCUCACUUUAAUGGAGCAGAAGGAUUUAAAUAUAAAUGCAAAAAAUUGCGUCGGGACGGUUCUGUCCUUAAAUGGACAUCGAAAGUAUUUCUGCAUGUACCAUGCCAAACAUCCGGAAUGUAAGGGUAAAGGUUCUAAGCGCAUUAAAAAGAUGACCAAGCGACUUGUCCAAAAACCGGAGGAUCCAGAAGCAGGCGCUUUUAUCGGUUUUGACAGUUCCAAUGAAUCUGAUGUGUCUCAAGACGAGGGUGGAAGUAACAUUUUAUAUCAAGACAACCUUUUAGAUGGAUUACCUAUGUGGCUCGAUAGAUUGUUCGAAGGAUCAACGCAUCGUUAUUAUGUAAAUUAUUGGCCCGAGUUCACUGCCAAGUAAAAGGAAGAGGAGAAAUUUUUUUUCUAGACGUGUAGAGGAGACUGUGGCACCUAGGGACAUAUAUAUUGGAAUAUACUGUUUAUUUUCCUAACACUAGUGAAAGUCUCAAGUUUCUACUUUAUAUUGUCUCAGUUGUUACUUGUUUACGAUCUGUUAGGUACACGUCCUGCCGAGACAUUUAAGUCUAGAUUUAUCUAGAAAUAACCGUUAACAAGGUGAUGUCAUCAUAAUGCAAUCCGAAAACAUAAACAUAAACGAUACAAAUGUGCAUAGAUAAUAUAAAUGAGAUGGCAAUUUCAGAUAUUUUACAUUAUGAAUAUUCUAUGGAAACAGCUGCCUUCAUCUAUGGACUUGAAGUAGAUUAUUUAAUAAUGUUUUUUCAUACAAUUAUUUUGGGCAAAGUAAUUAAAGACUCAAUUGAAGGAGGUCUUUCUCGAUGAGAUGUCAUUUCUAUUAUAUUUAAAAAUGUGUCAUCAAGAUCAUUGUGUUUGCUUGGUGUGCUUUGAAGAAUAUUUACCACUUUUACUUUAUACUUUUAUCAAAUGUAACAAUAUAACGUAUUCACAACAUUGGGAUAUACAUCGGAAGACGGAUAAAUCUACAAAAAAUCAAUUUCUGAAGAAAAACAAUAACGAAAUUUCUAAAUUAUUUGCGACAGAUUGCUUAAAAAUAUCUCUUAUUAAAAAUUUAUUUAAAAGAUCAUUAUAUCUUGAUGAAGAUAUUCACGAAGGUCCACGAAUACAUUUGUACCCAAGAAAGUUUAGGCAUUCACAAUGUUUACUUGAUUUUAGCAAAUGUAUAUUUGAAAUUAAGGAAAAGAAGAAAUUGAAAAAGAUAAAAAAAUAUAUUUAAAAAAUUAAGUAUCACAGUCUCCUCUAUACUUUAGUGAUAAAGGAAAGUGAUAAAGAACAAGGUUUGCCUAGUCAACGGAAUAUUAUUGCCAUCGGGAUAUACUGUGAUUCGAAUGGACACAGAUGCAACUCUGUAUAAAGACAAAACAUAUUCAUUACUUAUGCUAAGUACCGUUUAUAAACAUAUUUACAGUUUCCUGCAUUUUAACAUUUUUAGAUUGGUCUUUAAGUAUUGUUAAAGAGAAAGUAUGUUAUAAAAAGUUAUAUAGCAGGUAAGGAGGGAGAAUAAAAUUAUUGCUGAUGUGGGACUCGAUUCUCUAAUAUAAAUCAAGUUUUCUAUAUACUACUACUACUAUAACUACUUUAUUCGUUUCUAUGUAUAACUCGGAAUACUCUUUCUAGAAAUUCUAGAAUAUUUCCGAAUUACAUAGAGUCCUCGAAAUUGCUUGUAUCUAGUCAACACGUUACCAAAAUUUAACAGUAUUGCACAAUGUACAAGCAAAUAGAUCAUUUAUAUUUCCUCAGAUAUAUGAUUACGAGAUCGCGAUCGAUUGCGAUUAUCGUUGCAUUGUGAAUAUGUUAAUUCCUUAUAACAUUGUAAUGAUCUAUACGAGCUAUUUUUAGUGCCGUAAAAAAAUGUAAAUCCGUAUAUGUUCAUGUACGUAAUAUCUGUCGCUUGUUCGCCCUACGUUUAUUAGUAUCGCCAUUAUACAAACAUAUUUCUCGAAUCCGAAUAUCAGUAUAUCUAUUUACAGAAUUAUUACAUAUCUAUUUACAGAAUUUAUACUUUAUCAAUACAGUUACCGUAAAAUUGAUAUUUGUAGGAGCGAACCCAAAUGCUAAAAAAUAAGAGUGUUGUUAAAAAUAUAAUCCGCGCGCUCUUAUCCAGACUUAUAUACAUCUAUUAUUUUAUUUUUAAUUGUUCUACGUUUGUACUCAUCCCUUAAAAAUUGUACAUAUUUUAAAUAACGUGUAUUACUAAAAAUGUAUAUUAUUUAUUUAAAUAAUGUACAUAUACAUAUGUGCAUAUAUUGUUUAAGUACAUUUAUUUGGUUAAAGUAUUCAGUAUCGGUAUUAGAAACAGAUAUUUACUUUUCUCAAAUAUGUAAUCCUUUUUUAUGAAGCGACAAAUCUAGGUACCUUGUAUCUUUUAUAUAUUUCCUUAUUAUACAAGAAACUAUUAGAAUGUACUAAACAUGUAUUAUAGACAUGCGAUAAUCAUAUUGUUGAAAUUGCAAAUUAUGUGAGCUCAAUUGUUUAUACUUUACAUCCUUAUAUGAAGAUUAAAAUUGGCAAACAGAUAUAAACAUGGAGUAAUAUUUCUACCCUAAUAACAUUCUUGAUAAUUCUGAGUUAUAAUUACUAUCAUAUGAAUAUUGUUACAUUUAAGUAGAGUUUAAUAAUGUUCAUAAAUAUAGAAAUAUAUAUUUGCGAGUAUCACUUUUGCGGUAACUAUGAAAUGUUUUAAGUUGCUGCUUGUUUUUUGUAAGUAUUAUGUGAUAUAACAGACUUUCGAACUAGUUUUGCGAGAUAUGCACUAUAAUAUACACAUUUGUUAUGUCCCUCGCAAAAACAUUUCGAUUGUAAGAAAACGAUAUAUCUAGAAAUGUUUGUUAACAAAGCGUGUAAUUUAUUGUACGUUAUUCGUAUUAGAGUAUGUAUAUAUAUAUACGUACGUACUUAAUUCUUAUAUGUUGGCUAUAUACUUGUGUGUAAUCGCUAUUUAUACUUUUGGACUUAUAUAAUUUCAGUUUGGGAUAUAGGAUCCGCUAAAAGAAAUAAAAUGGAUUGCGCAUUA